rnacentral:lncRNA from 1 species
UUGUUUUUUUCUUUUAAUUUAGUGUUUUCCAUUUAAUUCUUUUUCAUUUCAAAGAUAUUUUACGCUGCUAUAUUAUCCACCAAUGAUGUGGUAACAGGAAAUAAAUGAUGUGGCGAUGAAGCAAUCACAUGGUCGAGAGAGAAGCGGUCGGUCGAGCGAAUAUCGCUGUCAGAGUAAUAACUUCAGGUAUCAGCGUCAGCUUAUAUUGGCUUGGACUAGGAAACAUGCCCGUGCGUUGCAACGAGAGACAAAAAUAUACUCACAUUAUGAAAAGAGCAUUGUGCAGAAGGCAUGAGAACAAGGUUGUUCGGGUGUGUAAAACUAAAAACGAACUCUUGAGAAUUUCAAUCGCAAACAUUAGCCGGCAUAUCUUCACGGGCUUUUGCCAUGCGACCGGUAUCAUAUUCUAUAUAGUGCUGUCGGUGUACAAAAGUAGGGGCUCUCCUUUUGACCCCUUUACUUGUGCACGGGCAGUCGGAGCCACGCGCCACGGCCGCACUGGGCAAGGCAGGGGAGAUGCACCGAGGUAGAACCAAAGCACGAGACAAGCGAGAUGACGCCAAGAUCAAGACCACAAAGGGCAGAGGGACGAAGCAGGUUCCCCCGGCAAGGCCCUUGCCGGGGUAGCUCGCCCCAACACCAACGGAGCAGUCCACCCUUGAGCCCACAGGUUCCAACAUCAUCAACUACGUUGGGCCAGGGCUCGGGAGGCACCUCCAUAGUGGUAUGUAGAUCUUUGUGAAGACAAGAACAACACUCUCAAUCAGAAGAGUGGAAGACGAAGAGCCUCGGCGAGAUCUUUGCCGAGGAAGCCCACAAGACCCCCGACAAGAUCCUUGCCGGGGACGACGGCAACGCCAUGGAAAAACCCUUGUCGGGGCCCCGGCAAGGCCCUUGCCGAGGGCGUCCACGAGGCCGCAGCCGAGCCCGCACCCGCCAAGGUUUUCGCCACCAAUCUCAUGCAGCUGCCAGCCCACCAGCCGGGCAGGCACCUGCGUGUCGACGCAAGGCUCCUCCGACAACUCAGCGCGUGCCUACGUGGUGGCAUGCAGAUCUUCCUGAAGGCUCCACCACCGCGCCACCUCAGCUGCUUGCCUGCCUACAUGGCGCCACCGCCUCGCUGGCUAAGGCGCGUGUCAAGACGAGGCGAAGCGGCGGUAAAGUGGAGGGGACACGUCAGGGGCGCAUUUAAUGCGUCUUUUUCCAUAAUGGCUAGCCAUAAGUUAGCCACAGUACCCCGAUGCCACCUCCUGGUGCCACUGUGGCGAUCCCUUCGCCUAUAAAAGGAGACCCAGGUCAUCCAGGAGAACGAUUCGGACUCUUGGACAAGUUACGCCCCCUGUAGCUAGUUCGAGCUCGUCAAGAACACAGAUAUACACAUCCAAGCAGGACUAGGGUAUUACGCAUCUCUGCGGCCCAAAACUGGGUAAACGAUCCGCGUGCUUGUACUGACUGCUGAUCCUGCUCUCCUCACCACUAAAGCGCCCCGCAACCACAGAAGGGAUCCUCGUGGUCCCAUAGGUGUCGUUUCCCACCGACAUCUUUGGCGCGCCAGGUAGAGGGCGCAGUAGUGAGCAUCUGGUUUUGUGGCCUGUGGCACAGUUCCUCAUCACCAUGGCCCCCAACAAGGAGAUGGCCAGGAGAAAAAGACGCCGCCUGCGAACGCGUAGGACGCCAGCGCGGCAACAAAAGAGCUAAGUCAUGCGAAACCUUAAGCAACUCCCUUUUUAUAUGUGAGGUUAUUGUCCCCGAAGAUUCUGCCCUAUGUAUGGAAGCCUGCACGCAAAUGGGCCCUUCCACGAUUGGCAACGCCCUUGUUCUGUUUCGAGUCCGCUCAACAGCUCAAGCUGCUCCAAGGCCCCGAGAACAACUUCGAAGAACAGGGUCAGCUUGGCGUUGGUGGUCCCGCCGCGCUCUAGGGCGUACCUCGCAUUUGGUAUCCCCAUGGUAGCCAGCUGAGCGGUGAUCCUGCUGGCGACGUCCUCGAGGCGGCCGAUCUAGUGGUUCUGACCAUCCACGAAAUCCUAGUGGGUGGCGGCCUCGUCCUUCCGCAGCUGCUUCUCGGUCUCCAGCUCCUUGGCCAGGGUCCCUUCCCGGGCCUUGGCCUCCGAGAGCAUCCCAUCGAGGGCCUCCAGCUUGAGCUUCAGGUCCCUGAUCGAGUCGUUGGCCUUGGAGAGCUGCUCGGCCUUGCCAAGGAUGGCGCCUUGUGCCUCUGUCAGGGCGCCGUUGAGCGUGUCCUUCUCCUCGGCCAACUUCAGGGUCUGGUCCUUCAGCCUGUCCCGCGCCGCCUCCAACUCCUUCACCAUGCCGGCGUGAAUGAGAGCCUGAGCAUCAAGCGCCUCUCUGUGCCUCUGCUCCAGCUCUUGGGUCCGCUGUGCGACAAGUUUCUCCACCUCUUCAUCCUUGCCGCGGAGCAUGGCGGCGAGCUUCUCCUCAUGCACGUCAACGUCCUGUUCCUGGGUGUUCAGUGCGGCCUCGUGCUGGGUCCGGGCGGCUUCAGCGGCGGCGGCCAAGUUCUUCGCCGCCUCUUGGGCCUUCUCGACGUCGGCCAGCUUCAUGGUGAGCUCCACAUCACGCUUGGCCAGCUCGCCGUGGGCGGCCUUCAGCUUGUCACGAGCCUGGCUAAACCAGUCCUACGUCUCGGCGACGCGCCCCUGGAGGUCCGCCUCCACCUUCUCCGCCACCGCCAUCCUGGACCUAGCUUUGUCCAGGCGGGCACGGUGGAGCGCCUGGAGCUUCCGGAAGCUGGCGCCCAUGGCCUGGAGAAGCCGCUCCUCCUGGGAGCCGUCGCCGCCAAUGGCCUGCUCGUCAACGACCUCAAGCCCGGAGGCGGCAAGCACGUCGUCGUCAAACACCUCUCCCUCCACGGGCGUCCUGGUGCUCGACGCGCCUGGGAGGUGGACGAACAAGUCGUCACUCACCCUCAGGUACUUGCCGGAGCCGGAAGCAGCAGAGGAAGAAGGCUGGUCCUCAGCCACCUCCUCCUCCUCGGGGGCGGCCUUGCCGGCCUCCCUGGCAUGCCCCUUGCCGGCCUCCUCAGCGCCGGCCUUGCCCGCCUCCUCCGCGCCGGCCUUGCCAGCCUCCCCAGCAGGCUCCUUUGCAGCGUCCUCAGCAGCGCCCCUGGCGGCCUCCUCGGCGGUGGUUUUCUCGGCCUCCGCCGCUGUGUUCUUGGCCACGUCCUCGAUGACGAUGUCCAGGUCCUCCCGGUCCGUCGAGAGAGGAUCUGGAUAUCACGAAGAGAGUGGGGGUAAAGCCAAGGUCAAAGAUUCAAAAAGAAGAGAAAAAGCAGGGACGAAGGGCGAGCGACUUACCAGUGCCAGGCUGAGAAGCGGAAGUCCCCUCCCCGCCAACGUUUGGCGCCGGGGCAAAGCCGCCAGCACCCAAGUUCUCCUCCUCCUCCUCCAUUUGCGUGGGCUCGGCGCUUGGCGCCCUUGCCGGAGAUGCCCGUCGGGGCGGCGUAGUCGACGGGGGCGGCGUGUUGGGAGUAGCCCUCUGCGGCUCCUCCUCCUGCUGCUCCCCUCCUACGCACCCGGCAAGGUCAGCACCAGAGUGUCAUACCCCUAACACAUGCUGCCAAGGGGAUAGUAAUGAACUUACGGAGGGGGCUGCUGUCCGGGCUGCUUAACAGCACCAAUGGCGACUUUGAAGUACCAGCCGGGGGCUGGCCUCCCGCCGAGGCCUUGGCCCUCUUCACUCUAUGGGCCAACGUCUCCACAUCCCUGCAAAGACGAAGACAAGUCAAGACAAGUGGUACAGAUAUAAGGGAUGGAGAUGACGGGAAGAGCGGGAUGCUUACUCCUCGUCCACCUCCUCCUUUGUUGCCUUGCUCUUCCUCCUCGGGCUGAGAGAUCCGAGGUCAAAGGAGAGACGCGCGCCGGCGUCUGCCGGGGAAGGAGAGGAAGGCGGGGUCUGCGCACACCUGGAUGAAGAGGAAGUAGAUGCCUUCUUCUUCGCCACCGCGGCUGAAAGUGCAACUUUCCCUGGGUGGUUUUGGUAAUUCCUAACAACAUAUAUCUCAUUGAGCUAAUGCUACUUCAAGAUAAAUAUUUCAGGAAAGCUCAAUGAUUGGCAUGGCAUGGAUGAGAAAAGUGGAUCCCUCAAAAUGCAAAGGACAAAAGGAUUGGCUCAAGCUCAAAGCAGAAGACUCUACAUUUUCUAUUUUAGUGAUCCAAGAUCACAUUGAGUCUAUAGGAAAAGCCAAUACUAUCAAGGAGGGAUGAGGUGUUGCUUAAUGGCUUUCUUGCUCAAAGUGCUUAGUGAUAUGCUCCAAAGCCCUCAACUACUUUCUCAUAUCCACAUAUGACCCAAACCAAAAGUCUAACACGGACCUACCGAUUCUUUCUAUCCGGCGCCACCGAGUUCAGAUGUCAUAGCCACUGCCACAAACCCUAGGCAAAUCAGUCUCACCAAUAGGGAUCUCGGUCUCACCGAGAUGGGGUUGUAAUCUCUCUGUUUCCAUUCGUAACAUUUCGGUCAAACCGGGAUGAGUGAUCGGUCCCACGGAGAUUACAAUGCAAACUCUCUGUUUCCUUUUCGUAACGUUUCGGUUUUACCGAGAUGAGCGAAUCGGUCCCACCGAGUUUGCCUGACCAACUCUCUGGUUAGCUUAUUACCAAAAUCGGGCUCACCGAGUUUGAGUAAUCGGUCUCACCGAGAUUACAUUAUGCCCUAACCCUCAUCAUAUCGGUCCUACCGAGUUGUCAUGUUGGUCCCACCAAAAAUCCUAACGGUCACAUUAUUUGCUAAAUCGGUCCGACCGAGUUUCACGAUUCGGUCCCACCGAGAUUGGUAAGUUGUGUGUAACGGUUAGAUUUUGUGUGGAGGCUAUAUAUACCCCUCCACCCACUGUUCAUUCGUGGAGAGAGCCAUCAGAACGUGCCUACACUUCCAACAUACAUUUUUCUGAGAGAGAACCACCUACACUUGUGUUGAGACCAAGAUAUUCCAUUCCUACCAUAUGAAUCUUGAUCUCUAGCCUUCCCCAAGUUGCUUUCCACUCAAAUCUUCUUUCCACCAAAUCAAUAUCAUGUGAGAGAGAGUUGAGUGUUGGGGAGACUAUCAUUUGAAGCACAAGAGCAAGGAGUUGAUCAUCAACACACAUUUGUUACUUCUUGGAGAGUGGUGUCUCCUAGAUUGGCUAGGUGUCACUUUUGAGCCUCCGACAAGAUUGUGGAGUUGAACCAAGGAGUUUGUAAGGGCAAGGAGAUCGCCUACUUCGUGAAGAUCUACCCUAGUGAGGCAAGUCCUUCAUGGGCGACGGCCAUGGUGGGAUAGACAAGGUUGCUUCUUCGUGGACCCUUCGUCGGUGGAGCCCUCCGUGGACUCGCGCAACCAUUACCCUUCGUGGGUAGAAGUCUCCAUCAACGUGGAUGUACGAUAGCACCACCUAUCGGAACCACGGGUAAAAAAUCUCUGUGUCAACAUUGCGUUUGCUCCCUCAAACUCCUCCCCUUUACCUUCAUAUGCAAUUGUUUUACAUUCCGCUGCUAUACUCUUAGAAUUGCAUGUGUAGGUUGAUUGCUUGACUUGUGCUAAGUUGCUAAAAUCAGCCAAGAACUAAAAUUGGGAAAAGGCUAGAUUUUUAUUUGGUCAAGUAGUCUAAUCACCCCCCCUCUAGACAUACUUUCGAUCCUACAAGUGGUAUCAGAGCUUUGGUCUCCAUUUGUCUUGAUCACCAUAGCUUUUGGUGAUCGUAGCCUUGGUUUCACAACCUAGGAGAGUAUGGCAUCUAGCGAGCGAAAUUACCACUGUAGAGGUCCUUACUUUGAUGGUACUAAUUUUGCUAGUUGGAAGCAUAAGAUGAAAAUGCAUAUUUUUGGACAUAACCCCGCCGUUUGGGCUAUUGUGUGCAUUGGCUUGCAAGGUGAAUUCUUUGAUGGGAGAGAACCGAGUCGUGAAGCUACCGCGGAAGAGUUGAAGAUGUUGCAAUACAACGCUCAAGCUUGUGAUAUCCUCUUCAACGGAUUGUGCCACGAAGAAUUCAACAAAAUCAGCCGUCUUGAGAAUGCAAAGGAAAUUUGGGAUACUUUGAUUGAUAUGCACGAAGGUACCGACUCUGUCAAGGAAUCCAAAUUGGAUGUGCUUCAAAGUCAGCUUGACAAGUUCAAAAUGAAGGAUGGUGGUGGUGUCGCUAAAAUGUACUCUAGGCUUUCUCUUAUCACAAAUGAGAUUGCCGGCUUAGGAAGUGAAGAGAUGACCGACAAAUUCAUCAUCAAGAAGAUCCUAAGAGCUUUGGACGGAAAAUAUGAUACCGUGUGCACAUUGAUCCAAAUGAUGCCAAAUUACAAAGAUCUCAAGCCAACGGAAGUCAUUGGAAGAAUUGUUGCUCAUGAGAUGUCACUCAAGGAUAAGGAGGAUCUCCACAACAAGUCAAGUGCUUACAAAGCCUCAUGUGAAGCUCCCAUAUCAUCAAGUGAGAAACAAACCUUCAAUGAAGAAUUGAGCCUAAUGGUGAAGAACUUCAACAAGUUCUACAAGAGUAGAAGCAUGGAGAGAAGUUCCAAGUCAAGGUCAUACAAUGACAAAAGAUCUUCUAGUCGUGAGCGUAAUUGCUACAAUUGUGGAAGACCCGGACACUAUUCCAAUGAGUGUACGGCACCCUACAAAAGAAGGGAAGAUUCUCAAAAGAGAAGAAGUAGAAGAGAAGAAUCACCAUCAAGAGAGAGAAGGAGUAGAGAUGAUCGUUAUGAACAAAGAACAUCCCGGAGAAGCAAGGAUUCGGAAAGGAAGGACAAGUCAUCAAGGAGCUACACAAAACAAAGACAUCAAGCUCAUGUUGGUGAAUGGGUAUCCGGCUCCGACUCCGACAAUCAUUCCGAGAGAAGUUAUCACUCCGACUCUGAAAAUACUCAAGAUGAAGGUGUUGCCGGUCUAGCACUUGUGUCAACCAACUCCAACGACAUAUUUCAUUCACCAAAUGAAGGACUUGGAAGAUGCUUCAUGGCUAAAGGCCCAAAGGUAUCACACCCCGAGUAUGUUGAUUUCAAUAGUGAUGAAGAUGACUUGUUAGGUGAUGAUGAUUUACUUGUUGACAACUCUAGUGAUGAAUACUAUGAUGAAACGUCAAUUAAUCAUGCUAAUCAAGAUAAAACGAAUGACAAUGAUAAGGAGAAGAUUGAGCACCUAACUAAAGAACUAAACACUCUUAAGUUAGCUCAUGAAACUAUCUUAGAAGAUCAUCGAGAACUUUUAAGGACUCAUGAGAAGUUACGUUUCGAAAAGCUCAACCUUGAGCAAGAGCAUGAGUCCUUAAAGGCAAUCAAUGAUGAUCUUCGCAAGAAAAUUUCUUCUUACAUUGCCAAGCGUUUACUCCUAUCUACUUACAUGCCUCAAGUCGAGUCUAGUAACAAGAACAAGAAGGAUUUUUCCUCUAGUAGUAACAAUAAUCAUGCUAAAUCCAAUGUUGUUGCUUCUAGUAGUUCUCUUGAUUCCACAAAUGAUUCUCUUAGCCAAGUUACACUUGAGCAAGAAAAUAGCUUAUUGAAGGGAAUUAUAGAGAAAGGUGUUUACAAGAGCCUUGCCGGGAGUAAGCAAUUCGAGGAAAUUGUACACAAGCAAGGAAGGCACCGGAAGAACCAAGGUGUUGGUUUUGAACGAAAGUUCAGUGCCAAUGGAGUUGAGUGGGAAGAAGAUCAAUUCCCCAAGACGAAGUUUGUUCCUCAACAAGAGAAGUAUGAUCCUACUUCCUUCAAAGGGACACAAGCUCAAGAUGAUCUUCCACCACAAGACCACAAGCAAAAAUGCAAGGACAAGCUUCAAGAGGAGAUUGAUGCAUUUGAAGAAGCUCAUAAGGCCUUGGUCAAGUGGGUUCCCAAGACUACGACAAGUUCUACCUCAUCAAGUACAACUACAACUCCAAGGAUUCCCAUCAAGAUGACGUGGAUCCCAAAGAAGAAGAACUAGAGAGUUCUUGAGGGUGACUCCGCCAACAUAUUUCACUCUUAUCAUUUUGGCAAGGACAAGUGCAAUCAACUUCCACAUCUUGCACUAGUUCAAGGAGUCACAAACUCUCUUGUUGGUAAGACAAGGGACAAGGUAACCCAAUGCUUUCAUGGACAUCAUCUUGUGUGUGCAUCACUCUAUGUCUAUGGAUAUCCUUGUUUGUUACUUGUGGGACUAACCCGUGUAGGUAUUGAAAGUGCAACUCACUCCAAGGGAUUGCUCCACAUCUUCAACACCUACAUCAACAUUGAGCAUCCACAUCUUCAACACCUACAUGAAGUCAUCAUCGACAAAACCCAAGGCUAGUCCAUCCCUCUUAGGGGGGAUCUCACAUCUAGGGGGAGCUUUACUCUAAGAAUUGAGCUAAAGCAACUCUAAUGGUGUGAACACAACAAUGCUUUAUGUAAAAGUGGUAACCCCACUUGUGCUUAAACGAUGAGUAUGACCGAUGAUCAAAUGAUUCUCAUUUGACUCCUAUGUCAAUAUACUCAUCUAUAGAUGACCUAGUCAUCGCCAAUUGCUUGAUAGAUGCUAGAAUGGUUGUGCAUGCUUUGCCACAUAUUUCAUUUGUCACUUUAUUGUGUGAGCAUGUUGGUUGCAUAAUUUACUCAUUCGAGGACAUCCACUUGUAGCUUUGAUUGUUCGGAUUCUUUUCUUUUGCCAAGUGGAUGGACAAGAAUGCCUAAGAACCUUCUCUAGCUAUCUAUGCUUUUCUUGUCUCAAACUCUAUUCAUGCUACAUCACAAAGUUUGAUCAAGUCCGAUUCGAACCACUCUGUGUGAGGAGCACUCGGAGUCCCCGAUUCGUCAUAGACUUAAACUUCCAAAACCUCUUUGUGUGUUUCGGUCUGACCGAUUCAUCCAUUUCGGUCAUACCGAGAUCACUAAGUUGAUCUAGGUUUUCAAUCUCGGUGCAACCGAUUUGAACUUUUCGGUAUGCCGAGUUGCUGUAACUGCUUGCAAUUAUGCAUCUCGGUGCCACCGAGUUGUUCCACUCGCUCACACCGACAGGGUCAGGCUAUAUAUAUCCACGGGAAAAAAUUUGGAAAUUUUUCCGAACCUCUUCGCCCGCGCACUGCCUGCUCUGCCUCCUCGGGUCUCUGGAUCGUCCUCCUCGUCGCCAGCGACCUCCAGCCGCUGGUCUCCACCGCCGUCAACAGGAUUCUACUCCGCCGUUGCCGCCGUAGCAAGUCCAUCACCGCAUUAGGGUAUGGAUUUGAAACUUUGUGCUAUUCCUCACUCCGAUUCCUAGCACAUUGCAUUGCCAUGUAUCUUGCCACGAUUGAGAUCUUCCUAUCCAGCGAAAACACUCCGUAGAUUAGUUUUGGAUUCAAAAUUGAGGGUUAGGUUUCCGCCGAACUCAUCUCGGACCGACCGAGUUGUAGAAAUCGGUCCCACCGAUUUGGCUCAGGCCAGUGCACAUGUGAUUCUCGGUCUGACCGAGAAUUGCAAAUCGGUGUGACCGAGUUCGAUUUUUUGUGAAACCCCAGCAGUCUCGGUGCCACCGAACCGUGACUCGGUCUGACCGAGUUCACUAGUUUACGUUCCAAAAGCUGCUUCGGUAUCACCGAGUUUACAAAUCGGUAGCUCCGAAAUGCUUUCUGUGGAAAACUAAAACUAAGUCUUUCACUCAAUCUUUUUGCAAAAACCUCUGUGCUUUGUGAUGCUCAUCCACUCUACCUCAUCUAUAUCUAUUCACAGCGUCUGCUGUCAGGGUUUGCACCAUGUCAGAUCAGAGUGACAGUCAGAACAAGUCUGAGGAGCAAGUUCAGAUGAGUGAGGGCACUAGUCCCUCUAGCAGUUCUGAUGAGGGUAGCAGCAGCACACCCAGCAAUUUGCCAAAGGCAGCCACCAGGGCCAGAAAGAAGAGAACAUCUGAGUCUGAAGAUGAUGACUAUGUGGCUGUUGAGGAUGAGGCCACCUCAAAGAAGAAAGUUCUGAAGAAGGAAUAUGGCACAGCUGCUACCACUAAGUCUGGACUGAAAACUAAGAUGCGAGCAAGAAGACAGCCCAUGUCUAAGCCAAGAAAAGUUGCCACUGGUGAAACCAUGAAGUUCACCAUUGAGUCUGAUAAUGAAGCUGCUGGCCAAGAUAAGAAGAAGAAGAGAGUCAGAACUACUUCUGCCAAAGUACUUGGCAAGCCCUCAAUAAGGAGAGACUCUGAAGAUGAAGAGGAAGAGGAUGCUGCACCAGCUCCUAAAGCUCAAAAGCUGAUGGGAGAUGCUAUAAGGUCAGGGGCUGCUCCAUCUAAGCCCAAAGGUGCUCCCAAAGCUGCUGCUCCUAAAGCCAAGUCUGCACCCAAGAGAAACACCAGAAAUAUUCCAGCUGCAGAGAAGAACAAGGCCCCCUAGUGCCUGAAGCUGCUGAAGAAGAAGAUGGAGACUCACUUGUCUUGAGAAAGCUGAAGCCCAAGAUCCUAGAUCAUAAUGAUGCUCACCCAGUUGCAGAAGAUAUGAAGCUCAGGAAGGAUGCAGGUCUGAGACAGUGGAGAUUGACUGACCCCUAUGCAGUCAGGAGAAGGACUGCUAUGGACUACAAGUUUCACACUAAAGAACAGCAGGAUUUCUAUGGGACAGUGCUGCUUGACAAGAAGCCCAUAGUUUGUGAUAUGAGAUGGGUUGACUGGGAGUAUAUCAGGAAGAAUGAAGAGCACUAUCCUGGAGUUUAUGACAGUUUCAAGUCUUGUGGAGUAGUAGGCUUUGUUGGGCAGAAGCUCACAAAGUGGAAUGAUGAGCUCAUUAUGCAAUUUUACUCCACAGCUCAUUUCUACCCAGAUGGGAGGAUAGUCUCGAUGUAUGAGGGUACAAGGUACCAAUCAACAGUUUAAGAAUGUUCUGAGUUGAUAAAUGCUCCAAAAGAGAAUGAGGAUGACUUGGAUAUCUAUGCCAAGAAGAAGAAAGACCACAACUCUAUGGCUCACAUGUACAGAGGGAUCCCAGAUGCUGCACUUGAGACUCACAAGUUUGGAUUUGUACACUAUUUGUUGUCAGGACUGCCCACUAUCAACUGGAUUUUAAGGCAUACUUUGCUGCCCAAGUCAGGUUAUCACAAGAUGAUCAGAGGCCAUGCAAUUAAUUUGCUUCACAUAUUUGAUGUGCCUCAGAAGUUCAAAGUCAAGAGCCUGAUUGUGGAAACAAUGAAAAGGACUACUGCUGAUCAAAAGAGGAGUUUUGGGUAUGCCCCACAGAUUCAGGAGCUUAUAAACUCCAAGAUGGGCACUGGCACAUAUCUCUUGGACAAGGAACACCUGCCCAUCGACCCUGAUUUUGAGGACAAUACUGUUGUGAUGGAUGACAAUGAACCAUCUUCUGUGCAAGCACAAGAGAAGAAGGAGAAGGCUGCAAAGAUGCUAACUGCUGAAGAGGCAUCUCUGAUUCUUCUGAAGAGAAAGCAAGAUCAGCUUGGUUACUUGAUUGCCUCCACUCUGAGGAUUGCGAAGGGCUUGGCCACCCUAAAUCAAAACCAGGAGAGCUUGGAGAGAAUCAUAGAGCAGAAGUUUUAUGCUCUUGAUGUCAAAGUGACAGAGAUGCAAACUUCGGUUGAGCAACUUCAGGAGGAUGUGGAGGAGAAGAAGGGCAUGUCUACCACAGAUGCUUUUGCUAGAGUGCCCAGAGGUCAGAGAUCUGCUGCAGUGCCUGUUCCAGACACCAGAGCUACAUCAUAUGCACCAGCUACAGCUUCAGUGCAUCCAGCUCCAGCACUAUGCAUUUUUUAUGAACUUUUUGGUAACUUGUUGCCAAAGAGGGAGAAAAUGUAUAGAUCAUAGGCUUCGAGAGAGAGAGAGUGUUGCUUUUGGUCUCUCUUGUAUUUUUGGUGGUUGAAUUUCGUUGUUUGCCCGUUUGCUUAAUACUCCAUGCCUUUUGUGAUACUUGCAUGAUCAUGUGUUUGAUCAUAUGCUAUGCUACAUUAAUGCUUGUUGGAUGAUAUUAUCUCCUAUAUCCUCAUAUGAUCAUUCACUUUGCUUGGUGAUGAGUGCAUGAAUUUAAUUAUUUUCAUUUUGAGCGCUCCACCAAGAUGUAUGUGACAUGGAAGAGUAACCCAUGAUCCUGACUCAUUGUGCAUUUGCAGUCCAAAGCAAAUUUUAAAUAAUGCACAAAUUUAGGGGGAGCUCUUACUUUUCACAUACUUCUCAAAGCGACAAUGUUUCUCAAUCUUAUUAUCAUUUGUCGAAGCUUUGAUCUAUAUGUUGUCAUCAAUUACCAAAAAGGGGGACAUUAAAUGUGCAACUAUCCCUGGGUGGUUUUGGUAAUUCCUAACAACAUAUAUCUCAUUGAGCUAAUGCUACUUCAAGAUAAAUAUUUCAGGAAGCUAAGGACAAAAGGAUUGGCUCAAGCUCAAAGCACAAGACACUACAUCUUCUAUUUUAGUGAUCCAAGAUCACAUUGAGUCUAUAGGAAAAGCCAAUACUAUCAAGGAGGGAUGAGGUGUUGCUUAAUGGCUUUCUUGCUCAAAGUGCUUAGUGAUAUGCUCCAAAGCCCUCAACUACUUUCUCAUAUCCACAUAUCACCCAAACCAAAACUCUAACUCGGCCCUACCGAUUCUUUCUAUCCGGCACCACCGAGUUCAGAUGUCAUAGCCACUGCCACAAACCCGAGGCAAAUCGGUCUCACCGAUAGGGAUCUCGAUCUCACCGAGAUGGGGUUGUAAUCUCUCUGUUUCCAUUCGUAACGUUUCGGUCAAACCGAGAUGAGCGAUCGGUCCCACCGAGAUUACAAUGCAAACUGUCUGUUUCCCUUUCGUAACAUUUCGGUCUUACCAAAAUGAGCGAAUCGGUCCCACCGAGUUUGCCUGACCAACUCUCUAGUUAGCUUAUUACCAAAAUCGGUCUCACCGAGUUUGAGUAAUCGGUUUCACCGAGAUUACGUUAUGCCCUAACCCUAAUUAUAUCGGUCCUACCGAGUUGUCAUGUUGGUCCCAUCGAAAAUCCUAACGGUCACAUUAUUUGCUAAAUCGGUCUGACCGAGUUUCAUGAUUCGGUCCCACCGAGAUUGGUAAGUUGUGUGUAACGGUUAGAUUUUGUGUGGAGGCUAUAUAUACCCCUCCACCCACUCUUCAUUCGUGGAGAGAGCCAUCAGAAUGUGCCUACACUUCCAACAUACAUUUUUCUGAGAGAGAACCACCUACACUUGUAUUGAGACCAAGAUAUUCCAUUCCUACCGUAUGAAUCUUGAUCUCUAGCCUUCCCCAAGUUGCUUUCCACUCAAAUCUUCUUUCCACCAAAUCCAUAUCCUGUGAGAGAGAGUUGAGUGUUGGGGAGACUAUCAUUUAAAGCACAAGAGCAAGGAGUUCAUCAUCAACACACCAGUUGUUACUUCUUGGAGAGUGGUGUCUCCUAGAUUGGCUAGGUGUCACUUGGGACCCUCCGACAAGAUUGUGGAGUUGAAACUAGGAGUUUCUAAGGGCAACACUACAGGAAACAGGUAAUUUGCCGUCUGUAGAUUAUAAACGGCAAAGACCUAAAUCCAAACGGCAAAGAUUUUGCUGUCAAGAAGCAAACGGCAAAGUCAGACGGCAAAGAUAAGUCAGCAAAGAAUACUUUGUCGUCAGCUUUUCAUCGGCCAGACGGCAAAGACUUUGCCGUCAGCAAAAUCUUCUUUGCCGCCAGCCUUAUAAAUCACAGAUGGCAAAGAAAUGCAGUUCUGCCGUCAGCUAUUCACAUCUUUGCCGUCAGCCUCGUAUAUCACAGACGGCAAAGAAAGGGGUCAAAUUAAAAAAAACACAGCAACUUUGCCCCCGAGCGAUGCGGUCAACUCAUUUGAGUGCAAUGCCUAUCUUUCUUCUUUUUUAACAAGGGGAAGGCCCAUCCGUGUGUAGUGCCGUUUCAUUCAACGUCAGUGGAGUACAAAAUGCAAACAUCACCCAAAAAAACCUAAACUUACAAAGUAGUCCUGGAAAUUAACACAAAGGACCCUAACAAGUAAGACCAAAAAGCAAUCGGGUCCUUCUUCUCCACUCCGUUGCUCUGCCCACCCCGCCGUCCAGCCAACGCUCGCCUCGCCCCUGUGCUGUUCUGCUCGCCUCGCCGCUGUGCCGUUCUGCUUGCUGCGCCGCCGCCCGGCCCUGCUCAGCCGCGCAACUCCGGCCCAAUCGCGCUCAGAAGCUGACUCGCUCCAGCGCCGCGGGGAGGCACGCGAGGGAGGUCGGGGUUGGUCGGUGCUCGACCGGUGGAGCGCCCGGCUGCUCUAGCGGCGGAGCUCGCGAGGCAGAGAGGAGGAGCUCGGGGUGUGGACGGGAUCGGGGGCGCGACCGGAGGAGCUCGAGUGCGCAUGGCCGGCCGGUGAGGACGAGCUCGCGAGGGGUGGAGCUUCACGCGGCGCUGGCGAGGUGGCGGAUGGAUGGGCAGAAGGGCGCUGGGCAUGGCGGCGGACGGACGGC